CUGUGCGAGUGUGGGGUCGGCUACACGUACAACGCCAUCAGCAAGCGGUGCGACGACGUGGACGAAUGUCGAGCAAGCCGGAACCCCUGUCAUGACAACGCCAUCUGUAUCAAUACUCUGGGCAGCUACAGGUGCGAGUGUAUCCCUGGUUACCAACUAGCGUCCGAGGGCGGCAGGUGCAUUGAUAUAAACGAGUGCCAGGAUGUGGCGGGGAUCUGUACGAACGGCGACUGCAGGAACCUCGAGGGCAGCUACCAGUGCAUCUGCAAGCAGGGCUACCGACUGGCCGCCUCCAGGGACUCCUGUCUCGACAUCAAUGAAUGCGAGCUUCAACCUGGCCUCUGCCGGAACGGGACAUGCGAGAACCGGAUAGGCAGCUACGAGUGUCGCUGUAGCGAGGGAUUCAAACUCAGCGACAGAAGGGACUGCGAGGGUACG